rnacentral:rRNA from 1 species
GUCUAUGGCCACGCUACCAUGAACAAGCCCGAUCCCAUCUGAUCUCGGAAACUAAGCAGGGUUGGGCCUGGUUAGUACUUGGAUGGGAGACCACCUAGGAAGAUCAGGUGCUGUAGGUA